GUUUGUCAAAAUCUAUUGAUCA
rnacentral:snRNA from 1 species